CACACCACAGGUCUAUCUCAGGUCAUCACCUCAUCUCAUUUAAAAAAUCUUUCAAGCUACUGAACGCGGCUUCACGUCAUCAAUCAGCAACUUGUGGAUCCUGAGGGACCCCCCCACCCCAAGAGCCUGUGUUACCAUAGCAACAGCAUCCGACACAACCUUACAGUGACCUAGGAACACUGGUGUCAGUUUCCAUAGCAACAGUGGAGCCUGUAACCAGCAGACAGUAGGAGCCGGUUCUCCCGUGAUCUCCACGUCCAGACGCAGUUUAUUUCCCGCCACCACGAUGAUGGUGUUCUUGUUCACCAGGCUGCCCGUGGUGUCCAGGUGGAUUUUUGGAGGAUCUGGAUGGACAGAUAGAAAAAGUUGAGUUUGGCCGAAAGGGAGAUCGCGUAACCAUCAGGGACGAACGUGUAAUCUCCAGCAUCCUCCGGCUUCACGUCAUCAAUCACCAACUUGUGGAUCCUGAGGGACCCCCACCCCAAGAGCCCGUGUUACCAUAGCAACAGGAUCCGACACCUGAAGUCCGGCUACAUAACAUCCAGUCCAGGUUGGGCGUGUCCUAAUCCAUAAUGACAUUCACUAUAUAGACUAUAUAGACUCCAUCCUAAUGUCAUCCGUCCACUGUGGGUUUGUCCGAAUGAUUAUUUAUUCACUAAACAAGCUCAGGGAGGAUGUGUCUCAAUCCACCUUUUUCACCAUAUAGGCUACCUAAACACCUUUUUUCAUAAUAGAUGUGUCUUAAUCAACAUUAUUAUCCAUUAUAUAGACCACUAAGAAGUUCUCAU